GUUUUGCUAAGGUUAUUGCUCUGCCUGGAAGGCCCACAUUCCUCAGCUGCAUGACCCGAGGUUUCCUUCCUCUAAGACCUUGCUAGUGGCUCCUAGAUGCCUUCCAAACCAACUUCUCUUCUAUGAGAUCAGCUCUCAGCUUUGUAUUCCUUGGCAUUUAUGGAGUAUGUUAUGGAGUAAGAAGACAUCAGAAAUUGAGGGCAUCCAAAACAGAAGAAAUAACAUGAAUGAAAGCUAUGGAGGUAUUAAAAGCUGCAUAGCUCCUUCAAGGAAUGGUCAAAAGUUUCAUCUACUAAUAAGUUGGAGAGAGACAUGAAGGAGAGGAAAGUGCCAUAAAACAAUGAGAAAAAGGUAAGUUAGAGCUAGCUUUUGGGUGACCUUGUUCACUAUGCAGCAGCUUUCAAACUUUAUACUUUAGAGACAUUGAAAUGUUUUAAAUGACAAUGAUCAAUGUAUCAAAAAGAUGAAUUGUGACCAUAUGGAGCAUGUAUUAUAGGGAAUAUGUUAUAGAAAUAGUUCAUGUGAGAAAUGAGCAGAAUCUCAACUAAGACAGUGUCAGAAGAACUAAAGGACAGGUGACUGGUUCAAACCUUUCAGAUGCAAGGUCAAUAAGUGUCAGUGACUGAAUAGAUUUAGAAGGUGAGAGAAAACUUGAAAUUAGCUUCACAUUAGAUCAACAGGUGCCAUAAAAAAGAUAUGAAACAUGCAGGAACUCAUUUCAGUAUUUUGUACCUUCAGCCACAUUGACAAUGGUUACUUCACUAAUUUUUUAAAAACUUAGCUAAAGGUUGUCUUCUUUGACAUAGGUUUUGUCUAAUACAAGUUUUCUUAAGGAUAAUAUUUACACUCC
rnacentral:lncRNA from 10 species